GAUGAACGCUAGCGGCAGGCCUAACACAUGCAAGUCGAACGGUAACAGGUCCUUCGGGACGCUGACGAGUGGCGCACGGGUGCGUAACGCGUAUACAAUCUGCCUUUAAGCGGGAAAUAGCCCAUGGAAACGUGGAUUAAUGUCCCAUAGUAUAUAAGAGUCACCUGGCUUUUAUAUUAAACAUUUAUGGCUUAAAGAUGAGUAUGCGUCCUAUUAGUUAGUUGGUAAGGUAACGGCUUACCAAGACGUCGAUAGGUAGGGGUCCUGAGAGGGAGAUCCCCCACACUGGUACUGAGACACGGACCAGACUCCUACGGGAGGCAGCAGUGAGGAAUAUUGGACAAUGGGGGUAACCCUGAUCCAGCCAUGCCGCGUGCAGGAAGACUGCCCUAUGGGUUGUAAACUGCUUUUAUACAGGAAGAAACACCUCUACGUGUAGGGGCUUGACGGUACUGUAUGAAUAAGGAUCGGCUAACUCCG
rnacentral:rRNA from 1 species